UACGAAGGGGGCUAGCGUUGUUCGGAAUCACUGGGCGAAAGGGCGCGUAGGCGGCCUGAUAAGUCGGGGGUGAAAGCCUGUGGCUCAACCACAGAAUUGCCUUCGAUACUGUUAGGCUUGAGACCGGAAGAGGUAAGUGGAACUGCGAGUGUAGAGGUGAAAAUUCGUAGAUAUUCGCAAGAACACCAGUGGCGAAGGCGGCUCACUGGCCCGAUACUGACGCUGAGGCACGAAAGCGUGGGGAGCA
rnacentral:rRNA from 1 species